GGAUUGAAAUGGGGGCACCCUGAUCCAGCAUCCCGCGUGUGUNAAGAAGGCCUUCGGGUUGUCNAGCACUUUUGUCCGGAAAGAAAACCUCCGUCCUAAUACGGUGGGGGGAUGACGGUACCGGAAGAAUAAGCACCGGCUAACUACGUGCCAGCAGCCGCGGUAAUACGUAGGGUGCAAGCGUUAAUCGGAAUUACUGGGCGUAAAGCGUGCGCAGGCGGUUCGCUAAGACCGAUGUGAAAUCCCCGGGCUUAACCUGGGAACUGCAUUGGUGACUGGCGGGCUAGAGUAUGGCAGAGGGGGGUAGAAUUCCACGUGUAGCAGUGAAAUGCGUAGAGAUGUGGAGGAAUACCGAUGGCGAAGGCAGCCCCCUGGGCCAAUACUGACGCUCAUGCACGAAAGCGUGGGGAGCAAACAGGAUUAGAUACCCUGGUAGUCCACGCCCUAAACGAUGUCAACUAGUUGUCGGGUCUUCAUUGACUUGGUAACGAAGCUAACGCGUGAAGUUGACCGCCUGGGGAGUACGGUCGCAAGAUUAAAACUCAAAGAAAUUGACGGA
rnacentral:rRNA from 1 species